rnacentral:rRNA from 1 species
UACGUAGGGGGCAAGCGUUGUCCGGAUUUAUUGGGCGUAAAGAGCUCGUAGGCGGUUUGGUAAGUCGGGUGUGAAAUCUCCGUGCUCAACACGGAGGGGCCACCCGAUACUGCCAUGACUUGAGUCCGGUAGAGGAGAGUGGAAUUCCCGGUGUAGCGGUGAAAUGCGCAGAUAUCGGGAGGAACACCAAUUGCGAAGGCAGCUCGCUGGGACGUUACUGACGCUGAGGAGCGAAAGCGUGGGGAGCGAACAGG